GCCACGUCUUGGUACACGCCGGCCACGCCCCCUCGGCGCGCUUGGUACGCGCCGCGCUCCCCCCGCCCGCCGCAGUGGUUCGGCCGCGACGACCCCUCUCCGGCGGCGCGGCCCCCGCGCUUGGUACGGCCCGUCCCGCUGCCCCGAGAGCCGCCCCCUCGCGCCCCUCAGUCGGUGGAGCCCGCAGCCCCCUGCGCGGCCCGUGGCGUCCGCACGGCCUGUCCGCCUCGCACCCGUCAUGGUCCGCCCGCGCCGCGCCCCGCACCGCUCCGGCGCCGGGGGCCCCCUCGGGGGUCGCGGCCGCCCCCCGCGGCCCCUCACGGUGCGCGCCGCCCGUUCGCGCUCCUGGCCCGCCGGCCCCCGGGGCCCGCAGCCGCCGCGGAUCCGGGCCCGCUCGGCUCCUCCCAUGCCAGGGGCCCGGGUGUUCGGGGCCCUGGGCCCCAUCGGGCCCUCCUCGCCGGGCCUGGCCCUCGGGGGCCUGGCGGUGGCCGAGCACCGGCUCAGCAACAAGCUGCUGGCCUGGAGCGGCGUCCUCGAGUGGCAGGAGAAGCGCAGGCCCUUCUCUGACUCCACCGCCAAGCUGAAGCGGACCCUCCCCUGCCAGGCCUACGUGAACCAGGGCGAGAACCUGGAGACGGACCAGUGGCCUCAGAAGCUGAUCAUGCAGCUGAUCCCGCAGCAGCUGCUGACCACGCUGGGCCCCCUGUUCCGCAACUCGCAGCUGGCGCAGUUCCACUUCACCAACCGGGACUGCGACUCCCUCAAGGGGCUCUGCCGCGUCAUGGGCAACGGCUUCGCGGGCUGCAUGCUCUUCCCGCACAUCUCGCCCUGCGAGGUGCGCGUGCUCAUGCUCCUGUACUCGUCCAAGAAGAAGAUCUUCAUGGGCCUCAUCCCCUACGACCAGAGCGGCUUCGUCAACGCCAUCCGCCAGGUCAUCACCACCCGCAAGCAGGCGGUGGGCCCCGGGGGCGUGGCGGGGCCGGUCCAGAUCGUCAACAACAAGUUCCUGGCGUGGAGCGGCGUCAUGGAGUGGCAGGAGCCCAGGCCUGAUCCCAACAACCGGAACAAGAGGUGGCUGCCGUCGCACGUCUACGUGAACCAGGGCGAGAUCCUGCGGACGGAGCAGUGGCCCAGGAAGCUGUACAUGCAGCUCAUCCCGCAGCAGCUGCUCACCACGCUGGUGCCGCUCUUCCGGAACUCGCGCCUGGUGCAGCUGCACUUCACCAAGGACCUGGAGACGCUCAAGAGCCUGUGCCGCAUCAUGGACAACGGCUUUGCGGGCUGCGUGCACUUCCCCUACAAGGCCGCGUGCGAGGUGCGCGUGCUCAUGCUGCUGUACUCCUCCGAGAAGAAGAUCUUCAUCGGCCUCAUCCCCCACGACCAGGGCAACUUCGUCAACGGCAUCCGGCGCGUCAUCGCCAACCAGCAGCAGGUCCUGCAGCGCAACCUGGAGCAGGAGCAGCAGCAGCGCGGGAUGGGGGGCUAGGGCCACCCGGCCUGGGCCCCGCCAGGAGUCACCGACGAGGCCCCGGUGGCACUGGUCAGAUGCUCUGAGCGGGGGCCCUCGGAGCCUGCAGCUGCCCCCCGAGACGGAGGACAGCGCCCCGAGACAGUGCCAUCAUGUAUGUUCCCCAAUAAAGUCUUUUAAAAGCC